UGGGCAUGAAACAAUUGUACAAUGUGCCAUUUGAACGGAACAGCGACAGAGUGAAGGAGAUCCGUCACCAGUAUGUACAGCAUGUACUGGAGCUGGAGGCCAGGGAACCGCUGCACACAUUCAUAUACCUUGAUGAGGCGGGUUUCAAUUUGGCAAAAGGUAGAAGACGUGGUAAGGAAUCGGAUUGGACAGAGAGCAACCAUUGAUGUCCCAGGCCAACGAGGAGGGAAUAUUACUAUGUGUGCCCCCAUCUCAGAAAACGGCAUCCUCACCCAUAUCCCCUGUCUUGGUCCAUACAACACACAACAUCUGCUGACUUUUUUAGACACUCUUUACAGGGACAUAAUCCCUGAGAAUGAGAGAGGUCUAACAGGAUACCAUCUGAACAAGCAUGUUGUUGUUUUGGAUAAUGUGCGUUUUCACCACACAGAUGUUGCCAGACUGUGGUUUGCAGCACAUAAUAGGAUUCUGGUGGAAUAUCUCCCUCCCUACUCACCAUUCCUGAAUCCAACAGAGGAGUUGUUCUCUUCCUGGAGGUGGAAGACCACAUGACCUUCUCCCAUUCCUCCUCUGGAUCAUCCAGAUGGUCAUUGGCAAACUUCAGACAUGCCUGGACAUGCAGUGGCUUGAACAGGGGGAUUUAACAGUUUUUUCUGAUGGCUGUAGAUGUAGUGAUUGUAUGAGUUAGUGAACUGUUAUAAGCUGUUGUAACCAAUGAAUCAAAAUAUUAAAUGUUUGUAAUAUGAGCUGAAACUGAAGGAGCAAGUAGGAGAAUAGGAAACCCUGUUUAAGCAGUUGCCGGCGAGAGAAAGAUUUAGUAUGUCUGUCUUUUAAGAAACAGGACACAGGUUAGAGACACACACACAUAGUCUGACAGGCCAGACAGAAACCAGGAGGGGACAAGAAGAUGUUUGCGUUUAUCCUUAUAAGGAAUAGAACUGGAACUGGACCAAUAGCACACUUGUUUUGUGAAUUUAACGACUCUAUCUUUUGGGCGUAGUAGAAGUAUAAAAUGAUCUGUUGAAUGUUGAUCCUUAGACAUUGUGCGGCGACACUUGUCUCCAAAAGCUUUUGUAAUAAACGGAAUAUGCGGUAUGAUAAUUGACCUGACUCCUGG
ensembl:lncRNA